GGGUGAUUAGCUCAGUUGGCUAGAGCAUCUCGUUUACACCGAGAGGGUCGGGGGUUCGAGUCCCUCAUCACCCA
rnacentral:tRNA from 2 species